CUGGCAAGAGCCUUAGCAAACAAAACCUGGCUGUGUGACCUUGGGCCUACAGCUCUCCCUCUCAAGAGUCACCGGGCCUUUGCGGUGCCUCCCCGCGCAAGCUCGCCCCGCCGAGGGGACCGGCCCGGCCAGCCCGGGGAAGGGGCGAGGAGCAGGACCCCCGGGGGCGCCGGCUUGCCAGGGCGUCCCCUCCCCAAUCCCGCGACUUCCAGGGACAGCUCGAAGGUGAGCUCCUGGGAGGCCGCCCGCGCUCCGGCACGGCCCGCUCGCCGAACAAUAACAGUAAAUAACGCUGCCUUGUCAACGUAAUAAAAACGGAAACGGUUACAA